CAAAACACACAUACAAAAAAAAAAAACACAAAAAUAAAAAAAAAAAAAAAAAAAAAAAAAAAAAAAAAAAAAAAAAAAAAAAAAAAAAAAAAAAAAAAAAAAAAAAAAAAAAAAAAAAAAAAAAAAAAAAAAAAAAAAAAAAAAAAAAACAAAAAAAAAAAACAACAAAAAAAAAAAAAAAAAAAAAAAAAAAAAAAAAAAAAAAAAAAAAAAAAAAAAAACACAC
rnacentral:lncRNA from 1 species